UACGGAGGGUGCAAGCGUUAUCCGGAUUUACUGGGUUUAAAGGGUGCGUAGGUGGGUAGGUAAGUCAGUGGUGAAAUCUUCGAGCUUAACUCGGAAACUGCCAUUGAUACUAUCAGUCUUGAAUACCGUGGAGGUCAGCGGAAUAUGUCAUGUAGCGGUGAAAUGCUUAGAUAUGACAUAGAACACCAAUUGCGAAGGCAGCUGGCUACACGAAUAUUGACACUGAGGCACGAAAGCGUGGGGAUCAAACAGG
rnacentral:rRNA from 1 species